UACGUAGGGUGCGAGCGUUGUCCGGAAUUAUUGGGCGUAAAGAGCUCGUAGGCGGUCUGUCGCGUCGAUCGUGAAAACUUGGGGCUUAACCCUGAGCUUGCGGUCGAUACGGGCAUGACUGGAGUUCGGCAGGGGAGACUGGAAUUCCUGGUGUAGCGGUGAAAUGCGCAGAUAUCAGGAGGAACACCGGUGGCGAAGGCGGGUCUCUGGGCCGAUACUGACGCUGAGGAGCGACAGCGUGGGGAGCAAACAGG
rnacentral:rRNA from 1 species